GUGACAGGCGCGUAUAGCAGUGACGGAUCGAGUGAACGGCGCGUAUAUCAGUGACGGGUCGAGUGAACGGCGCCUAUAUCAGUGACGGGUCGAGUGAACGGCGCCUAUAUCAGUGACAGAUCGAGUGAACGGCGCGUAUAUCAGUGACGGGUCGAGUGAACGGCGCGUAUAUCAGUGACAGAUCGAGUGAACGGCGCGUAUAUCAGUGACGGGUCGAGUGAACGGCGCCUAUAUCAGUGACGGAUCGAGUGAACGGCGCGUAUAUCAGUGACGGGUCGAGUGAACGGCGCGUAUAUCAGUGACAGAUCGAGUGAACGGCGCGUAUAUCAGUGACAGAUCGAGUGGCAGCAGUGGCAGGUUGAGUGACAGGCGCACAUAGCAGUGACAGGUAGAGUGGCAGCUGCCCCUGGCGGUGACGGGUCGAGUGACAGGUCUCAGUGGCAGCUGCCCCUGCCACGCAAAGAUUUUACCCCCU